AAACUUCUUUCUUGUACGCCAUCGGGCAUGCGUACAUAGAAUCCAUCCAUAUACCUAUCUUGACCAUCAGUUGAUCUGGAGGCUGCUUGGCGUCUUGUGGUGUGAGCUUUUGCACUCUUUUUGUGUGAGGUUUUGGAGCUUGGUGACCUCCCCAGCCCAUGAUGGUUCGUCGGGCCCCGAGCUCGUUUGAGGUGCUCGGUGCUUUCUGUCCGUAGGAAGAUCCCCCCGGUUGCGACUUCGUUUCUGUUAGGUGACCAGCGGGCUUAGUACCCGUUAAGCUGGAGCGCUAGCCCCCGGAGGGGAGCGCUGAUGUGUGCCAGCCAUCGUUUUCCGUGCAGCAUGACCAGGAGCGGAGUGCACCGGCCGUGUGCAUCCCGCCCCCGCACUGUGUUUCAGCCCUGGGCCCCCGUCUUUUCAACCCACAGUGUAAACGUCGUCAUACAUACAUACAUACAUACAUACAUACAUACAUACAUACAUACAUACAUACAUACAUACAUACAUACAUACAUACCUCUACCGAGCGCCCCGCCCAGGAGGCUCCCGACUGGAUCGCAUUUAUGUGAAUCAAGCCGUGAUGCCGUAUGUUGCUCGCACGGAGAUUAUCCAGCACACCCCGUCAGAUCACCAGCCGAUGGUCCUACACCUGCUGCCUCGCCGGGUUGAACAGAGGGGCCCGGGCAUUCGCCAGGUGCGCAUGGCCUUCACGGCGCAUGAAGACCUGGCCACGAGCCUGGAGGCCUGGAUUACCGACCAGUGUGCCGUGGCCCCAUCUGUGGAGGACAAUCCUGCUGGCCUGAUCGAGUGGUGGCCUGCCUUCAAACGCCGCCUCGCUACUCGUGCACAUCAGCUCAACAAAACAGCACAACAUCGCAGGCUGCGCCCAGGAGCCCGUGUACAAGCAGCCCUACCAGCAGUCCAGCAGGCCCGACAAAGGGUCGACACAGAUCCCAGAGCACAGCAGCCCUUACAGCAACUGGUGGACGCACAGGCGGCACUAGCACGGGCCCACCGAGAGGACUGCAGCAAGGAGGCGAUGGAGGCCCGCAUACACUGGCUACGGACAGGGGAGCGGCCGAGCCCAGCCAUGAUUGCGUUCAUCCAGGCCCAAAGCGCGGACCAACAACCAGCUCCCGUCGCCCUGCAAGCCCAGUCCGGCCGCCUAGUGACUAAUCCAAGCCAGCUUCCCCAGGUGGUCGCAGACUUCUGGAGUGAAGUGAGCCGAGCUCCCAACUACAUCUGCCCCCAAGCCCAGCAGGAGGUGCUAAACUCCCUGGCGGCCGCCAACAUCUCGCUACCCGCAGAGGCAGAUGAACAGCUGGGAUCCAGAACCAUCACGGCCAACGAGUUACGAAAGGCUCUUAAGAAAAGCCAGCCUGGCAAGGCCCCGGGGUGGGACGGCAUCCCAGCCGACAUCUACAGGAAAUUCUGGUCGGCCAUUGGCACCACCAUGGCUGGCCUGCUCACCGCCAUAGGCUUGACGGGGCAGGUGCCGAAGGGCUUCUUGGAGGGGGUACUGACGGUGAUCUACAAAAAAGGCGACCCCAAACUCCCUGGCAACUACCGUCCUAUCACCCUGCUUUGCUCGGACUACCGACUGCUCACCAAAGUGCUGGCAAACCGCCUAGGCCCUGCCCUUGGCCAAGUCAUAACCCCCGAGCAAUCAGCCUUCCUACCCAGGCGCCUCAUUGGAGCCAGUGUGCUAUUCCUGCGUCACCUGUCACACCUCCUUCGCAAGCAGAACCGCCGGGGGCUCGUGGCAUUCCUGGACUUCGCCAAGGCCUAUGACACGGUGGAUCGUGGGUUCCUCCUGGCAGCAAUGGAGACCAUGGGUGCAGGGCCACAGCUCUGCGCCUGGGUACGGCUGCUGCUGAGCGAAACACGAGCCCGAGCGAUGGUGAAUGGCUACAAAUCGAAGCUGGUGAACAUGGAAGCAGGGGUACGGCAAGGGUGCCCCCUCGCACCCUUGCUCUACCUCUUCGUUGCUCAGGCCCUACAAUGCUGGCUCCGGAGCCAAGACGUGGGGAUCAAAUUACAGCCGGCCGACUCACAACCAGUCACCGCGUGUCAAUAUGCGGAUGACACGGAAGUGGCGCUGCAGGGUGAAGACUCAGUACCAUCGUUCCUCCAGGCCAUGGACACCUUUGCCCGGGCAUCUGGCCAACGCCUAAAUCUCGACAAAGUGGAGCUGCUGUGGAUUGGCCAAUUAAACCAACAGNNNNNNNNNNNNNNNNNNNNNNNNNNNNNNNNNNNNNNNNNNNNNNNNNNNNNNNNNNUUAUCCAGCACACCCCGUCAGAUCACCAGCCGAUGGUCCUACACCUGCUGCCUCGCCGGGUUGAACAGAGGGGCCCGGGCAUUCGCCAGGUGCGCAUGGCCUUCACGGCGCAUGAAGACCUGGCCACGAGCCUGGAGGCCUGGAUUACCGACCAGUGUGCCGUGGCCCCAUCUGUGGAGGACAAUCCUGCUGGCCUGAUCGAGUGGUGGCCUGCCUUCAAACGCCGCCUCGCUACUCGUGCACAUCAGCUCAACAAAACAGCACAACAUCGCAGGCUGCGCCCAGGAGCCCGUGUACAAGCAGCCCUACCAGCAGUCCAGCAGGCCCGACAAAGGGUCGACACAGAUCCCAGAGCACAGCAGCCCUUACAGCAACUGGUGGACGCACAGGCGGCACUAGCACGGGCCCACCGAGAGGACUGCAGCAAGGAGGCGAUGGAGGCCCGCAUACACUGGCUACGGACAGGGGAGCGGCCGAGCCCAGCCAUGAUUGCGUUCAUCCAGGCCCAAAGCGCGGACCAACAACCAGCUCCCGUCGCCCUGCAAGCCCAGUCCGGCCGCCUAGUGACUAAUCCAAGCCAGCUUCCCCAGGUGGUCGCAGACUUCUGGAGUGAAGUGAGCCGAGCUCCCAACUACAUCUGCCCCCAAGCCCAGCAGGAGGUGCUAAACUCCCUGGCGGCCGCCAACAUCUCGCUACCCGCAGAGGCAGAUGAACAGCUGGGAUCCAGAACCAUCACGGCCAACGAGUUACGAAAGGCUCUUAAGAAAAGCCAGCCUGGCAAGGCCCCGGGGUGGGACGGCAUCCCAGCCGACAUCUACAGGAAAUUCUGGUCGGCCAUUGGCACCACCAUGGCUGGCCUGCUCACCGCCAUAGGCUUGACGGGGCAGGUGCCGAAGGGCUUCUUGGAGGGGGUACUGACGGUGAUCUACAAAAAAGGCGACCCCAAACUCCCUGGCAACUACCGUCCUAUCACCCUGCUUUGCUCGGACUACCGACUGCUCACCAAAUGUGCCACCCCCCUAGCCCUGCCCUUGCCCAAUCAUAACCCCCGUCAAUCACUUUCUUACCCAGCGCUUCAUUGGACCCAGUUGCUAUUCCUGCGUCACCGGUCACACGUCCUUCGCAAGCAGAACCGCCGGGGGCUCGUGGCAUUCCUGGAUUUCGCCAAGGCCUAUGACACGGUGGAUCUUGGGUUCCUCCUGGCAGCAAUGGAGACCAUGGGUGCAGGGCCACAGCUCUGCGCCUGGGUACGGCUGCUGCUGAGCGAAACACGAGCCCGAGCGAUGGUGAAUGGCUACAAAUCGAAGCUGGUGAACAUGGAAGCAGGGGUACGGCAAGGGUGCCCCCUCGCACCCUUGCUCUACCUCUUCGUUGCUCAGGCCCUACAAUGCUGGCUCCGGAGCCAAGACGUGGGGAUCAAAUUACAGCCGGCCGACUCACAACCAGUCACCGCGUGUCAAUAUGCGGAUGACACGGAAGUGGCGCUGCAGGGUGAAGACUCAGUACCAUCGUUCCUCCAGGCCAUGGACACCUUUGCCCGGGCAUCUGGCCAACGCCUAAAUCUCGACAAAGUGGAGCUGCUGUGGAUUGGCCAAUUAAACCAACAGCAGGCGCAACCUGCAACCCAGGCCGGGCCCCAAUCAGCUGCCCCUCAGCAGGAGUCAAUAGGAGGUCUCAAGGUGGUGACCACCGCCACCGCCCUGAACCUGCCGAUUGACAACCAGCCAUCCCCGCCACAGCCCGACUGGAUGAAGAGACUCGGGGAAGCCAAGCGGCGACUGCAGCGGCUCUCCCGCUUCCCGCUAUCAGCAUUCAGUCGAGCCACAGCGGCAUCGGUGUACGGAAUGCAGACAGUCACCUGGCACAUGGAGCAUGGUGGGCCGCCCCCCAACCGUACGCUGGACGAAAUAGAACGCCUAACGGCCCGCCUCGUCGACCGGCAGCAGGGCCCAGAAGACCCCGGCCGCCGCUUGACAGGGGUGCCUAAGGAUCUCUUGACCGGCCACCCGUCGGCUGGAGGCUUUGGCCUGCUGCCCCUCCAGCAACACAUCCAGGCUCGGCAUGCGGUAUGGGCUGUGCGCUUUAUCAUAACGGCCCUCGGCAUAUCUAACGUGUCAUGUGGGCAAGGACAAGGGGAGCUGCAGGAACCACAGGUGUAACCGGGGGGCACGGGAGGGCAGAUGGUGGUCUCCAUCCCUGGGUCCGGACGCUCUCCGCCUAUAUGCUGCUCACCCACCCCGCCUUCCAACCGUGGGCCCUGACGACCGCCAGCCAAGCCGGGCCCCGACUCGGCGGAAGUGACCUACCCACGGAUAUCAGCCGGAUUGUGGGCGCCCUGGGACACCUACCACCGCUCCGGGAUAUCGAGACCAGCCCCCUGUCCCCCGGCCCGUGGUGCUGGGCAACCGCGUUGUGGGGUAACCCGUUGCUCCCCAAUACCGGCGAGGCAGACCCAGACAGUUUGAACCGCCGCCCGGGCCUGGAGACGCACUUCGUGGGGAUCGCUACAUGCAGGAAACUGCAAACGGUGGGCGACCUAGUGCGGAUCUGGGACCUAGUGGUGCAUACUCGAGUGGCCUCCCUCCCCAGGUCGACCUGGCCCGAAUGGGUCAGGACACACCUCGACCCAUCAACCCCAGCACCCACGCGGGACAGGUCAGCGACCCUGGCAGCCCUUAAGACGCUACAUGGCGCUAUCAACCCGGCCUGGCUCGAAGCUGCAAGAGCAGUGGAAACCCAACAGCAACAGCAACCCCAGCCGCAGGCACAGCUGCAGCCACAGCCGCAGUCACAGCCACAGCCGCAGCCACAGCCGCAGCCACAGCCGCAGCCACAGCUGCAGCUACAGCUGCAGCUACAGCUGCAGCUACAGCCGCAGCCUCAGCCGCAGCCACAGCCGCAGCCACAGCCGCAGGUACAGCCACAACAGCUGCAAACACAACCACAGCUACAGACACAGCAUCAGCCGCAGCCGCAACAGCAGCAACAGCCGCAGCAACAGCUACAGACGCAGCCGCAUGAGCAGCAACCCCAACAGCAGCAGCCAGAGAUGCCAACGGCGGGGGACAUGGCGGCUCCAAGCACCCCCAACAGCACUCAGGCGAUGGCUANNNNNNNNNNNNNNNNNNNNNNNNNNNNNNNNNNNNNNNNNNNNNNNNNNGAAGACUCAGUACCAUCGUUCCUCCAGGCCAUGGACACCUUUGCCCGGGCAUCUGGCCAACGCCUAAAUCUCGACAAAGUGGAGCUGCUGUGGAUUGGCCAAUUAAACCAACAGCAGGCGCAACCUGCAACCCAGGCCGGGCCCCAAUCAGCUGCCCCUCAGCAGGAGUCAAUAGGAGGUCUCAAGGUGGUGACCACCGCCACCGCCCUGAACCUGCCGAUUGACAACCAGCCAUCCCCGCCACAGCCCGACUGGAUGAAGAGACUCGGGGAAGCCAAGCGGCGACUGCAGCGGCUCUCCCGCUUCCCGCUAUCAGCAUUCAGUCGAGCCACAGCGGCAUCGGUGUACGGAAUGCAGACAGUCACCUGGCACAUGGAGCAUGGUGGGCCGCCCCCCAACCGUACGCUGGACGAAAUAGAACGCCUAACGGCCCGCCUCGUCGACCGGCAGCAGGGCCCAGAAGACCCCGGCCGCCGCUUGACAGGGGUGCCUAAGGAUCUCUUGACCGGCCACCCGUCGGCUGGAGGCUUUGGCCUGCUGCCCCUCCAGCAACACAUCCAGGCUCGGCAUGCGGUAUGGGCUGUGCGCUUCAUCAUAGCGGCCCUCGGGCUAUCUAACGUGUCAUGUGGGCCAGGGACAGGUGGAGCUGCAGGAACCACAGGUGGUACCGGGGGGCACGGGAGGGCAGAUGGUGGUCUCCAUCCCUGGGUCCGGACGCUCUCCGCCUAUAUGCUGCUCACCCACCCCGCCUUCCAACCGUGGGCCCUGACGACCGCCAGCCAAGCCGGGCCCCGACUCGGCGGAAGUGACCUACCCACGGAUAUCAGCCGGAUUGUGGGCGCCCUGGGACACCUACCACCGCUCCGGGAUAUCGAGACCAGCCCCCUGUCCCCCGGCCCGUGGUGCUGGGCAACCGCGUUGUGGGGUAACCCGUUGCUCCCCAAUACCGGCGAGGCAGACCCAGACAGUUUGAACCGNNNNNNNNNNNNNNNNNNNNNNNNNNNNNNNNNNNNNNNNNNNNNNNNNNNNNNNNNNNNNNNNNNNNNNNNNNNNNNNNNNNNNNNNNNNNNNNCGUCGCACAAGCUGUCCGGGAGCAAAUUGACCGACACAUACAGCCCUCCCAGGAGGCAGCGACAGGCGGCAUCACCCGGAAGCAGCUGUGGUUGGUCCAAGCCCCGACCGGCUGCGAGCAGGCCCCCUGGGAUGUGAUCGCCCUGGCGGCCCUGUCUGCUAUGGAGGUAGGCAGGUGCUGCCUGCGAGCAGCCGGAAGACGACUGGAAAGGGCGGCUAACCCCGCGACAGAACAGCCAGAGCAAGCGCAACAGAUCCAGGCGCAAGGGCCCCAACAGCGGCGGAUAACGGACUUCUUUCACCUGGCCAACGGAGUGAGACCGCACGAGGGGCUGCUGCUGAACGCGCCGGUACUCGAGGAUCAAACGCAGGGGCCCAUCGCGGGACCGGGGACGGCAACAGCAGCAGCAACAGCAGCAGCAACAGCAACAGCAGCAGCAACCCCCCUGGAAUACGCCCGCGCUCGGGCAGUAGUGGACU
rnacentral:lncRNA from 1 species